AUCAUUAAAACCCUACACUCAAAUGUAUCUGACCAUUACCCAAAAGUUGUAUCGUGUGAAACAAAUCUACAAAAAAGACGAAAUCAAAACAUCAGUACAACUAAACCAAAAAUCAAAUGGGACAAGAUAGAUAAAGAAGAAUAUAAGAACUUAGUUGAUCAGAAGCUUGAAAACUUGAAUUUGCAGACAAUAAGUCAACUGAAUAACAACAAGGAAAUAGAAACAUCAAUUACCAAAAUUAGUAACAUCUUAGAUAAUUGUGCACGUAAAUGUCAACCAACGAAGCAGAAAAAAAGAAAGAUGGGAAAUUUGCUAAUUUGGAACCAAGAGAUAUCCACAGCAUAUAAAGAAAUGAAAAUCACAAAAUUUACAAUGGUAUGAAGCGGGAAAACCAUCAUCCAAUCAUAAUACUUUUAACUGAAAAAAGGAGAAUAAGCAAAAUUUUCGCAGGGUAUAUAGAACAGAACUA
rnacentral:lncRNA from 1 species